GGAAUGCUUUACACAUGCAAGUCGAACGGCAGCACGGAGAGCUUGCUCUCUGGUGGCGAGUGGCGAACGGGUGAGUAAUAUAUCGGAACGUAUCCAAUAAUGGGGGAUAACGAGUCGAAAGAUUCGCUAAUACCGCAUACGCCCUACGGGGGAAAGCAGGGGAUCGUAAGACCUUGCGUUAAUGGAGCGGCCGAUAUCUGAUUAGCUUGUUGGUGAGGUAAAGGCUCACCAAGGCGACGAUCAGUAGCUGGUUUGAGAGAACGACCAGCCACACUGGAACUGAGACACGGUCCAGACUCCUACGGGAGGCAGCAGUGGGGAAUUUUGGACAAUGGGGGCAACCCUGAUCCAGCCAUUCCGCGUGAGUGAAGAAGGCCUUCGGGUUGUAAAGCUCUUUCGCAAGGGAAGAAAACUUAUGAUCGAAUAAAUCAUGAGGUUGACGGUACCUUGAUAAGAAGCACCGGCUAACUACGUGCCAGCAGCCGCGGUAAUACGUAGGGUGCGAGCGUUAAUCGGAAUUACUGGGCGUAAAGCGUGCGCAGGCGGUUUUGUAAGUCGGAUGUGAAAUCCCCGGGCUCAACCUGGGAACUGCGUUCGAAACUGCAAGGCUAGAGUGUGUCAGAGGGGGGUAGAAUUCCACGUGUAGCAGUGAAAUGCGUAGAGAUGUGGAGGAAUACCAAUGGCGAAGGCAGCCC
rnacentral:rRNA from 1 species